GCAAAAUACCUACUUUCUCCCCCCACAAGUGGAUUUUCUCCCCCAGAUCCUACUUUUCGCCCCACAGUUAAGCAUCAUCUCCCACAAAAUGCCACCUUUCAAACGAAAACAAAACGUUUUCUCUCCAAAAUACUACACUUCUUUCGGAAACACGACAUUUUCUCCCCCCCCCCUCCCAGAAAAAAAAAAAACAAAAACCAAAAAACGGCAACCAAAACAACAAACCAAACACUUCUACCCACCAUUGGACUGGCAGGCAUGUGUUGGGCUUGUCUGCUGGUAGAAGGAACAAGGUUAGGCAUAGUUUCUACAGAGAACAACUGCUUCAAUUUCUUUCUAGAUUUGGUCGUAAGUAUCAGAGGAGCGGCAAGAAAGGGCCCUGCCACUGCCCGUCUGUUACUACGCAGCUGUACGUGACAGAGCCCGCUGUGGCUGGAAGUGUAAAGGAUGGCAGUUCAGAAUCCUCUCUUGCCAGCUUGCCGUGCUGCAGUCUUGAGCUUGUGAAGCGUGCUCCUGAGGGCUUCUUUUUCGUUUGAAAGGCGGUAUUUUGUGGGAGAUGAUGCUUAACUGCGGGGCGAAAAGUAGGAUCUGGGGGAGAAAAUCCACUUCUGGGUCGGAAAGAAUAGGACAUUUUCUCCCCCAAGUACCCCUUG
ensembl:lncRNA